rnacentral:rRNA from 2 species
GGAAGUAAAAGUCGUAACAAGGUCUCCGUUGGUGAACCAGCGGAGGGAUCAUUACCGAGUUUACAACUCCCAAACCCAAUGUGAACCAUACCAAACUGUUGCCUCGGCGGGGUCACGCCCCGGGUGCGUCGCAGCCCCGGAACCAGGCGCCCGCCGGAGGGACCAACCAAACUCUUUUCUGUAGUCCCCUCGCGGACGUUAUUUCUUACAGCUCUGAGCAAAAAUUCAAAAUGAAUCAAAACUUUCAACAACGGAUCUCUUGGUUCUGGCAUCGAUGAAGAACGCAGCGAAAUGCGAUAAGUAAUGUGAAUUGCAGAAUUCAGUGAAUCAUCGAAUCUUUGAACGCACAUUGCGCCCGCCAGUAUUCUGGCGGGCAUGCCUGUCCGAGCGUCAUUUCAACCCUCGAACCCCUCCGGGGGGUCGGCGUUGGGGACCUCGGGAGCCCCUAAGACGGGAUCCCGGCCCCGAAAUACAGUGGCGGUCUCGCCGCAGCCUCUCCUGCGCAGUAGUUUGCACAACUCGCACCGGGAGCGCGGCGCGUCCACGUCCGUAAAACACCCAACUUUCUGAAAUGUUGACCUCGGAUCAGGUAGGAAUACCCGCUGAACUUAAGCAUAUCAAUAAGCGGAGGA